AAUAAACAUUGAACAACAACAAAUUACAAAAUAACAAGUAAUCUAUAUGCUCUCAGCCCUCAAGACCCCUUCACUGCCUCGCAGCCCGGAGACACCGUCUCUUCAGCCCCGCCCCUUCAGGUGCAGCAGGCCCCGCCCCUCCAGGUGCAGCAGGCUCUUUCAGAGGAGAAGCGGAGCGUGGAGGCGGAGCUUCAGCGCUGCCAGGAGGGAGAGAGAGAGGCUAAAGAGAGAGUGCAAAGGUUGGAGCGUCUGGUGGAGGUUUUGAGGAAGAAGGUCGGGACAGGAAGUGUCCGAGCUGUGAUGUGACCUCUGAACCAGGAAGUGCUUCAUCUCUCUUUCCUUUUGUUGUCACUGAUUAUUAUUUCAGUUGAUUUGAAACGUCUUAAAGGUGACUGUGUGUUUCUGUGUAAUCAUGUGAUCUGAUUUGAAAAUUAAAGUGAAAACAACCUGCAUUUUUUAAAAGUUUGUGAUUAAAUCUUGAUUUGUCGUUGUUAUGAAAUAAAGUUUUUAUAAUUAUGUUGAUUAGAACAGACCUUUUUUAUUUCCUGUUGGAUUGUGCAGCGCCGCUUCCUGUUCCGAGCGCUGACCUGAAUAAAGUCGUCUCUUUGUC